rnacentral:rRNA from 1 species
UUCGCAAUGCCCGAAAGGGUGACGAAGCGACGCCGCGUGCGGGAAGAAGGCCUUCGGGUUGUAAACCGCUGUCGGGAGUUAAGAAAUGCAAGGGUGUUAACAGCAUCCUUGCUUGACUAAGGCUCCGGAGGAAGCCACGGCUAACUCUGUGCCAGCAGCCGCGGUAAUACAGAGGCGGCAAGCGUUGUUCGGAAUUAUUGGGCGUAAAGAGCACGUAGGCGGCCGUGUAAGUCGGUUGUGAAAGCCUUCCGCUCAACGGGAGAAUGGCAUCCGAUACUGCAUGGCUUGAGUGCGGGAGGGGAGAGUGGAACUUCUGGUGGAGCGGUGAAAUGCGUAGAUAUCAGAAGGAACACCGGCGGCGAAGGCGACUCUCUGGCCCGUAACUGACGCUGAGUGUGCGAAAGCUAGGGGAGCAAACGGGAUUAGAUACCCCGGUAGUCCUAGCCGUAAACGAUGGGCACUAAGUAGAGGGGUUUU